UACGUAGGUGGCAAGCGUUGUCCGGAAUUACUGGGCGUAAAGGGCUCGUAGGCGGCCAACUAAGUCGGAUGUGAAAUCCCCAGGCUCAACUUGGGAACUGCAUCCGAUACUGGAUGGCUUGAAUUCGGGAGAGGGAUGCAGAAUUCCAGGUGUAGCGGUGAAAUGCGUAGAUAUCUGGAGGAACACCGGUGGCGAAGGCAGCCUUCUGGGCCAACACUGACGCUCAUGCACGAAAGCGUGGGGAGCAAACAGG
rnacentral:rRNA from 1 species